GGCUCGUUGUUCUAGGGGAAUGAUUCUCGCUUUGGGCGCGAGAGGUCCUGGGUUCGAACUCCGGAUGAGCCC
rnacentral:tRNA from 1 species